GAACGCUGGCGGCGUGCUUAACACAUGCAAGUCGAACGAACCUUCGGGUUAGUGGCGGACGGGUGAGUAACGCGUGGGAACCUGCCCUCAGGAGGGGGAUAACGGUUGGAAACGGCCGCUAAUACCCCAUAUGCCGAGAGGUGAAAUGAAUUUCGCCUGAGGAUGGGCCCGCGUCUGAUUAGCUAGUUGGUGGGGUAAGAGCCUACCAAGGCGACGAUCAGUAGCUGGUCUGAGAGGAUGAUCAGCCACACUGGGACUGAGACACGGCCCAGACUCCUACGGGAGGCAGCAGUGGGGAAUUUUCCGCAAUGGGCGAAAGCCUGACGGAGCAACGCCGCGUGAGGGAUGAAGGCCUCUGGGCUGUAAACCUCUUUUCUCAAGGAAGAAGACCUGACGGUACUUGAGGAAUAAGCCACGGCUAAUUCCGUGCCAGCAGCCGCGGUAAUACGGGUGUGGCAAGCGUUAUCCGGAAUUAUUGGGCGUAAAGCGUCCGCAGGUGGCCCUGUAAGUCUGUCGUUAAAGCGUGGAGCUUAACUCCAUUUAAGCGAUGGAAACUACAGGGCUAGAGUGUGGUAGGGGCAGAGGGAAUUCCCGGUGUAGCGGUGAAAUGCGUAGAUAUCGGGAAGAACACCAGUGGCGAAGGCGCUCUGCUGGGCCAUCACUGACACUCAUGGACGAAAGCCAGGGGAGCGAAAGGGAUUAGAUACCCCUGUAGUCCUGGCCGUAAACGAUGAACACUAGGUGUCGGGGGAAUCGACCCCCUCGGUGUCGUAGCCAACGCGUUAAGUGUUCCGCCUGGGGAGUACGCACGCAAGUGUGAAACUCAAAGGAAUUGACGGGGGCCCGCACAAGCGGUGGAGUAUGUGGUUUAAUUCGAUGCAACGCGAAGAACCUUACCAGGGUUUGACAUCCUGCGAAUCCCUUGGAAACGAGGGAGUGCCUUCGGGAGCGCAGUGACAGGUGGUGCAUGGCUGUCGUCAGCUCGUGUCGUGAGAUGUUGGGUUAAGUCCCGCAACGAGCGCAACCCACGUCGUUAGUUGCCAGCAUUCAGUUGGGCACUCUAGCGAGACCGCCGGUGAUAAACCGGAGGAAGGUGUGGAUGACGUCAAGUCAUCAUGCCCCUUACAUCCUGGGCUACACACGUACUACAAUGCUACGGACAAAGGGCAGCGAUCCCGCGAGGGCUAGCAAAUCCCAUAAACCGUGGCUCAGUUCAGAUCGUAGGCUGCAACUCGCCUACGUGAAGGAGGAAUCGCUAGUAAUCGCAGGUCAGCAUACUGCGGUGAAUACGUUCCCGGGCCUUGUACACACCGCCCGUCACACCAUGGAAGUUGGCCACGCCCGAAGUCGUUACUCCAACCCUUGUGGAGGAGGACGCCGAAGGUGGGGCUGAUGACUGGGGUGAAGUCGGAACAAGGUA
rnacentral:rRNA from 1 species